AAAUAUCCAAUAAAGAGAAACAAUCAGUUCUCUUUCUCUUUCUGUCUCGUUCUUCAUUUCUUCAAUCAUCUUUUCAAUUUUACCUUGAUCAAUCUGUAAUAUAUGGUAUGUUAACAUGGUAUCAGAGCAGCGAUUCUGAUUCUGCUCGUCACUGGCUUUGUUGCGAUGUUACCCUCGUCAAUUUUCAUCCGAGUUUCUCU
rnacentral:lncRNA from 1 species